UGAGUAGAGAGGGAGAGGGAAAGUAAGGCGUUUUUGUGGGUAAAAUGCAGGAGAUGAGUGAACCCUACUCACCCCCACCCUCUCUCCCUCUCUAUAAAGCUGGUACACAGAUUAUAUAUGGUAGAGUGGUCCAUCACACUCGCUCUUUGUAUGGGCAUGCUAUACCCCUCUCUCUCUCUCUCUCUCUCUCUCUCUCUCUCUCUCUCUUAAAAAAAAAAAAGUAAAGAAAAAAAAAAAAAAAACUUACUACUACUACUAGUAGUAUAUCUUCUAAUUUGCUGGAAAAGGCACACCAAAGAGAAAGAAAUUAAACCAAGGAAGGGAGGAAGGAAGGAAGGAAGUGAGAUCUGAUGAGAGAAAAAGAGAAUGUUUUUGCAAGUCCUGGUCAUGCUUUUCCACAGCUUUCUUGAACUUUCUUUCUUUCUGUUUAGUCUCUUUUUUAAGAUUGAACACCAUUGAAAGCUCAAGAAAGCUGUGGGAGAAUAUGGCAAAUUUGGGAUUUUAAUUUUUUUAUUUUUGUUUUUAUUUUUUAUUUUUCCUUCAACUACUCUUCAGCUGAUGAUGAUGUUGCACACAGAAAGAAAGAAAGAAAGAAAGAAAGAGAGAUCUCAGAAGCUAAAUUCCCCCAAUCCAAAAUGGAGAAUCACGGCUGUGUGAUAUUGCUGAAUACAAUGUGGGUAUUUUGGCUUUGUAUGUGGGUAAGAAUACUGGUCGUCUCUGAAGAAUAUAUCAGAAAGGUAAAGCUUAUGAAAUAGAGAAGAUAUGGAAAUUGAGGAAUUUCAUGAUAUAAAUAUCACAUUUUUGUUUAAGAUAUAUAUUUUUUUCUUCUUUGUUUAAAUCUACUGGUACACGUUUGAACCAUGCAUGAAGAGGGACCGCACAAUAGUAAUUUUGAAAGGCAUAUUUUUCUUCUUGUCUGUACAUUUAGGUGAAAUUCUGUUUAUCUUAUUUUAUUUUUGAAUUUAAUUUUAUUCUUCAUAAAUAUAUUAUAUAUUCUGAUUUCAUUCAAUCAAUAUGGUGAAAAAAACUAAAGAGUUACUCUGCAGAGAAGAUUCCCUGCCUUUCCUUUUUAUCAUCAAUCAUGACGGUUCUUCCUGUUAGGGCCUUUCGAUUUUGCUUCCACAUCUUCUCCUACAUUUCUGUGAAAAAGGUUAAACUUUGUCACUAUCUGACAUCAUUUUUUUUUAACCACUCCCCCCCAAUUCUUGCAUCAGUUUUCCUUAUUUAUUUAUUUAUUUAUUUUUACUAUAUUUAUGUUUGUCUUUAUUAAUCCCUCCUUAACCCCACUCCCAUACCCCUCUCUCUAUCUUUUAAUUUAGAAAUGAAAAUUAUAUAAGAUUUGAAUAGUUUAUUACGCGACACAAAAUUGUAUAUAUUUAUAAAUUUAUAUAUGCUUAGGUGUGAUCUAAGAUCUUUAUGAUAUAUAAAAAAAAAAAAUUAAAAUAAUGAAGAAUCUGAACAUUUCCUAAUUGAAUUUUGCAUGAGUACUAGUAGUGCUAUAAAUGUUUUAUCCAAAUCCCAUUUCUAGAUCUUUUCAUUGAUGCUAUGAGAGACAAAAAAAUCUUGUUUAAUCAACUAUUUCAGCUUGGAAUGGUUGUUGAGUCAGCAACAAAUUUUUAUAAAAUUUUCAAGUAUUUUGAAAAAAACGAAGUUGGUACUCUAUUAACCAUAAUUAAUUAAUCAUUUUCAUGAUCCCCAAAGAAAAUCCAUAUGACCAGAUUCAUAAUAUACAAUAUUUACAAAUUUUAAUUUUCUUUUUUGAUUCCUUUUAAAUAUAUGAUUAAUUCUUUUAUAGUUUCCUCAAAUGAUUUUUUUUUCUAAUUAAUUUUCUAUUUAAUUCAUUGGAUAUGUAUAUAUGAUAUGUACCUUUUAUAUAUGUUGCCCAAGUUGCAUAUAUACUGUUUUGUUGGUGCCCCUUGAAUUAUUACUCUUACAGGUGAAAGGUGACAAUUCUGCUACUAUGAUAAUAUAUGGCAAACAAUGAGAUCAGAUUGGAUGCAAGUCUGAGGGCAUAUAUAUUGGGCAAAGUCCACAACAUCCAAAAUAACUUUAAAGUUUAGCUGCCUGUUCACAAGCACUCCAUGUUUUUCCAACAACAUUGGUUGCUUUUUGUUUUAUUUUAUUUUUUAUUUUUUGAAUGCUAGCUAAUCCACCUUUUUCUUCUUAUAAAGCUGCUUUUAUCUUGUAGGGCAUAGAAUAAUUAAUAUGGCUAAUUAGUAGCUGAUAGAAACUAGACAAUAUAAUCACCGAAACUAUAGCAAUGUUCAUUUAGACUUUUUAAAGGAAAAUAAAGAAAAAAGUGAAAAUCAUUUUAAGUAAGGAUUUUUCACAGAGGGAAUACAAGAGGAGUUUAAUGAAGAAGAGUAGGGCCUCCAUAAUCAGUUUAAAAUAUACCAGACAAAGGGAUAUGGCUGCUCUGUGCUGCAUCUAAUAGAAAUAAUCUUAUUUUACCAAAGCGUAUACAUAGGCCAAUACUAGGCCCCUACUUUACUUUACCUAGUUAUCAGGGAUUGGGGGUUGGGCGGGACUUGUUAAGUUCUUAUACUGAUGCCUAUAUAUAACCCAUUAAUAUCCUAUGAAGUCAGUGACACAGAAUGUAUAGGGCAUGAGGUGCUUCUGAAGCUCCUUUUUUUCAAAAAAAAAUAAAAAAUAAUAAUAAUAAUAAUAAUAAUAAUAAUAAAACAAAAUAUGCACACAAAAAACAAAAAAAAAAAAAAAAGGUUCAAGUUUUUUGAUGAAUAAAUAAAUUUUAUUUUAAUUAUUUUGGAGAUUGGGGGUGUAUUCCUAUCUUUUGAGACUAAAAGUUAGGGCUUGCUCUUGAUUCCAAAAACAAGAAACUUAUUUCUGAACUUGCUGACUCAAACAAUGGUUAAUUUGUCAUAUUGUUACAGUAAGAUAGCUUGCAGCAACCUCUGAGCUGCCAAGCAGUGCAAAUUGCCAUUGUUUUCUCAGUUUAGGUUAUCUUGUCCACUUCUUCUUGUAGAGAUCAGACCUCAAUUUUCAAUAUCUCCUUUAGGCCAAAAUUCAACUUUAUUAUGAUAUCUAAGUUCAAUAUUUCUGAAAUUUAAAAAAACAAUAAUAGUAAUAAAAAAGAAGAAGAAGAAAAGAGAAAAUAACAUGUAUGCAAGUUUUUCAUCUGUCUAUGCUGUUUAAUAUCUAUUAUACAAACAGCUUUAUUCAUAUUGUGAAGGGAAGAAAAAAAUAGAAAACAAAAGCGAAUUUAUAUUUACCCACACUAUUGUGUACUCUUUAAUUCUCUUGUAGGAUUGAUCAUAUGCAAUCAAUAUCCUUCUAAUUUUCAAUUUUGUUAUAUUAAUUGUUGGGCUUAAAUUCCACGUCUGCUUGGUAUUAUUGAACAUAAGUUCUUCUAAGAUAAGGUUAUGGCUUUGGAGCAUAAACAAUCUUAAGCGGCCACAUAUAUUUACAUAGAAAAUUACAGAAGUACUAAUCACGAAAUGAAAGUUAUGUGUGUGUGUGUGUGUGUGUGUGAGAGAGAGAGAGAGAGAGAGAGAGAGAGAGAGAGAGAGAUCGAAUAUAACAUGGCAUUCUUGAGGUGCAAAUGUGUAUAUAUAUCAUUCUUUAGCACCGAUGUUUUACACAAAGGGGGGAAAAAAAAAAGAGAGAAACAAGAAUAAACAAGACUAUAUCAAUGAAGUUACAUAGGAUAAAUCAUUAUAAACUAGAUAUUCCAUAGGGAGGUUGAAAUAUUCUUCGUCACCUCGAUUCAUAAUAAGGAAGCUGUCUUCCAAAAUAUCGCCAUAGUUAAAUUACUUUCAAAACUCCGAAUUCUAAGGAUUCAAGGUAGCAAAUUGAGCUUUCUUCCAAAUCUUAACAUCCAACUAAUGCUUACAUACGAAUAUAUAUAUAUAUAUAUAUAUGGAUUAUUCAAGAUAAUCCUUUUCAGUUAUUUUGAACCAUCUAUAUAUACUCAGCACUUUCAAAUGGAAAAAUAACAUAUAAUGUAAUUGUAAUUCUCUGAAGCCUUUGUAAGCACAUCUAUUUCAUCAUUGAUUUGCUUCUUUUCUUAACCUUCACAAUAUGCACACACACACACACACACACACACACACACACAAAACACAUAUGAUCAUCAUCAUAUAUAUAUAUAUAUAUAUAUAUACACACAUAUACACAGAAAGAAGGAUGCAACUUCUUUUUCUUCCGGCCGGCAUGAAUAUGUAUUACUUUGAAGAAUUCAGACAUCUUAACAGCCACUUAAAAUUUAUAAGUUUACAUAUUUAAAUGCCUAAUAUUUGAGAAUAAAAAAAAAUAACAAUAUUAAUCCUAAUUAACCAUAAUAUUUCUUAACAUAUUAGAAUAUCCUCAAUAUAGGUUGUUCUUUAUGUAACUUCUGUCUCCAACAUUUACCCAAAAAAAAAAAAAAACCUAUGUCUCCAACAUCCUCCACCAUGCACAUGUAAAACUAAUCCUUAUUCCUCCCGACAGGUUCCAACCCUCUUCCACCAAUUCUUUACAGUUUUGUAUUUUCACGCCAGCGCAUAUAUUUCAAUACCCUAAUCAUCAAAACAUUGGAGUAUAAAAAAAAUAAUUAAAAAGAAAAAAAAAGAGAGACAGAGAGACAGAGAGAGAGGGAGAGAACAUAGUUCAUGGUUUGAAGCCAGCUAGGCUGCUAAAUGAGUUCCAAAUAAAAACUGUACCCACAUUGGUGCCAAUUUCUGGAAAAAGAAUUAGUACUUUCUGUGAGAUUGAAAAAUGUAAAAAUAAAAACAAAUAAAAAAAACUUAAAAAUUAAACUUGUACAUUGCAAACCAUGGCCAACUGAAAAAGAAAUGGCAUUGAGAAGCAAUAAUUCUGCCCCCAUGUGUUGUAGGAAACAAUACAACAGUCACGUCACUAUUGGCAUGUAUAUAUAUAUAUAUAUAUACAGAAAUAUAUAUAGCUCUAGCUAGCUCAACCAUUCAAGCAAAGUAGCAUCUUCUAAAACUGAAACAUCUUCACCUUUUCAUUUUGCUGUAUGUUAAAAUUGAGGUACAAUUAUGAAUAGUAAUUCCAUAUAGAUAUAUCCUGACAGGAAAUUAUUAGGAUUUGUUUUUAACAAAAAAUAAUUGAGCAUUCUAUUCAUGAAAAUCAGUGAUGGUUUCUACUAAUAUUUGGGUUUAUAUUGCAAUUUCUAUUUUAGUAAAAGCACUAAUAUGGCUUAAAAAAACCCAUGUAUCCAUUUGAUUGUAUGAAAGUAUAUGAAUCACUUUGAUGUGAAAAAAUAAAUGAAAUAUCCAACAAAGAAACAAUUGUGAUAUUGAUGUUGCUUUGAUGUGCAUAUAUAUAUAUAUAUAUAUAUAUAUAUUCCAUUAGCAACAACAAUCAUGCCUAUAUGCAUAAAGGAAGGCAAAUAUUAACCCCCCAUUUGCCUAUUUAUGAUGUGGGUUAUUUUUUUCUAUGUGCUUGUGUUUUGCAUGCGCACAAAUUGUGAUUGAAACUAAAGAGGAUAGGGAAAAUGCAAAGCUGCAUCUGUUACUUAUCAGAAAAUAUUCUUCUUCCAGAAUAUCGAAUCAUUUUGGAAUAUAUGCAAAUUACCACACACCAACUAAUAUUGUCUCCUCACCAAGCCAAAGAAAUUAGAAGAACAAGCUGGCUGCUCAUCAUGUUUCCUAGAAACAGAUCUUAAGCCCUGAUUCGGACGUUCUGAAGAAAUUUUUAGAUGGAAAAUUAACCUUUUUAAACCCAUAUUUUUCAUCGAGAAAUUAAGAUAAAAACCCAGCAAAAAAUUAAAUCAGACAAACAAUCAACACCUUUUCUGACUUUUGAUAAGCAGUAAAGCAUUAAAAAUGAGCUGAUAAACGCUUAUGUUAUUAUUCUUUUGAUGGAAAUGAGAUGACUGACUUUAACUGAAAUAUUUUAUCCCACUAGUGUUUUCCUUUAAGUAUACAGUAUCUAUGAAAAUCUUGAGCAAAUGCUGAAACCUUUACACUAAAAAAAAAUUAAACUUUCUUAAUGGCAAUAAUUCAAGAGUAUAUAUACGUAUAUUUAUAUAAUAUAGUUCCACAAUAAAUAUACGAUUACAUAAAGCAACAAACUAAAAAAGUUAGUAUUCCCCAAUUAAAUCUAUAUUAAAAAGAACUUGUUAAAGAUGUCCAACAAAAAAAUAGGUUGGCAUUAAAGUUGGUGUCUGAUUUGUGGGCUACAUUAAAACAUGUAUUAUGUAUAAAAAAGAAAAGUAGGUCUAUUCAUAUGAUGUGUGUGAUGUGCGUAAGUAUCAUUAUUAUUAGAACUAAAAGGGUUGGCCUUAUUAAUUGGAUGGAUUAGAGUCCCCGUGAGAGUUCCACCUGUAAAUCCAUCUAAAUUCACAGCAGAUUCCAGCUUUUGCUGCGCAUUUGAAUAUUCUUUGGUAUUGGUGGCCCAGCAGUGACCCGUUUUGAGUUCUUGACGGAUCCACUUUGUACAAAGAGAGAAAAGCUAACUGUAACUACUAUUCAAAGAGGAAAGACGUACACAUACACAUACAUAUUACAUAUAUGUACAUACAUCCUCAAAUCCAAUUACAUGUAAUUUGUGGAUUAUAGCAGCAUAUAUUAGGCACCUAGUAGAUCUAGCAAAAUAAUUUAGUGAUCUAAUAUAAUUUAGAAAACCAUCUUAAUUAGUUGAUCUAGCAAAACAGGUUUGUGAUUUAGAUGAUGAACUUAUCCCUGUAACUUAAAUAGUUGUACUACACUUGGUUGGAAAAUUAAAAACCCUAAUUUUGAUUCUUCAAAUUAUAUUUUGAUUAAGUUUAUAUACUCCAAAUUUUUUAAAUGGUUGAUCAUAUAGUUGACAAAUCAAGUAGACAGCAUAUCUUGGAUUUUCUUUUGUUUUCUUUUCCGCUAGAUCUGUCAGUUUGUUAGACAGAGAAAACAAAAUUUUAAGAGGCUAUAAAAGGGGCUUCCUUCUAAUCUAUACAAGAACAUGUUUAAGAUUAGGUUAAAAUUAUUCGAGGAACUUCCAAUUUUGAUCUUUUUUUUUUUUUUCAAGUAAUUAAAUAAUAUACACAUUUUGAUCUCGAAUUAUUAUUGCUUCAGAGCUAUACCUAUAAGCUAGUUAUAAAAUACAAUGAAGAGCUUGUGGUCCAAUACCGAUUAGACAUGCAGUUAGUAACAGAAAGUAACAGCAAGUUUUAUCAUAAAAUUAAUCCUGAUGAGUUGUGCUAAUACAUAGAUGCAUACACAGAUAGAAAUAUACAUUGAAACACCACAUAUUAAAAUAACAACAGCUAAGCAGAUGAAAAAUACAGAUCGUGCAUGUAUAUAAUAUAGUUACUGAUGGUGCAAAGAUUUAGUCACUUAAAUGGAAUCUAAAAGUAUGGAAUGUAUAUUAAAUGAAUUUAUUAUUAACUGGCAAGGUUUAAGUACAGAUAGAUCAAUAGUACCUAGCACCUUUGUUUAGAAAUCACAAAUAAUUAAUUAGCUUUUGAUCCACACAACCAAAUAAAUAUUGAUUUUGGCCUGCAUGGAACCUAGACAUGUGGACACUGUAAGACCUUCUAAAACAGUUCAAAAGAUAACCAGCAAGAGACAGAUAAUCUAAACCAUUUUUAAUGCACACCCAUCCAUAAGUACAAACUUACAUACACAUAUUGAUAUUAUAUACAUAUAUAUAACUUUUUUAUUCAAUGAAUCUCUAAAUUUGUAAAGUACAUGUGGCAGAAAAACUACUUAUAAAAGAUGUUGACAAAAGGAUCACAAGAAAGGGCCUAAUUAACUACUACUAUUACUUCUAUCAUUGUUAAAAAUGUAAUACUUUCCAGAGAGAAAAACAAUGUACUCCAAGAAAAUUGCUCUUUUGAGUAAAAUUUAGGAAAAAAAAAUGAUUAAAAAAAAAAAACGGCUAA